UACGGAGGGGGGCUAGCGUUUGUUCGGAAUUACUGGGCGUAAAGCGCACGUAGGCGGCUUUGUAAGUUAGAGGUGAAGCCCGGGGCUCAACUCCGGAAUUGCCUUUAAGACUGCAUCGCUAGAAUUGUGGAGAGGUAAGUGGAAUUCCGAGUGUAGAGGUGAAAUUCGUAGAUAUUCGGAAGAACACCAGUGGCGAAGGCGACUUACUGGACACAU
rnacentral:rRNA from 1 species